UGUGUUCCCGCUAAGGAGUCUUGGUCAGUUGUAGAAUCACUGGUGAAUAAGGGGUGGGCAAAUUCUGGUGUCAGCCGCCGCGGUAAAACCAGCACCUCGAGUGGUCAGGAGGUUUAUUGGGCCUAAAGCAUCCGUAGCCGGUUGCAUAAGUUUUCGGUUAAAUCUAUGCGCUUAACGUAUAGCCCGCCGAAAAUACUGUGCAGCUAGGGAGUGGGAGAGGUACACGGUACUCGAUAGGAAGGGGUAAAAUCCUUUGAUCUAUUGAUGACCACCUGUGGCGAAGGCGGUGUACCAGAACACGUUCGACGGUGAGGGAUGAAAGCUGGGGGAGCAAACCGGAUUAGAUACCCGGGUAGUCCCAGCUGUAAACGAUGCAGACUCGGUGAUGCAUUGGCUUGUGGCCAAUGCAGUGCCGCAGGGAAGCCGUUAAGUCUGCCGCCUGGGAAGUACGUACGCAAGUAUGAAACUUAAAGGAAUUGGCGGGGGAGCACCACAAGGGGUGAAGCCUGCGGUUCAAUUGGAGUCAACGCCAGAAAUCUUACCUGGGGAGACAGCAGAAUGAAGGUCAAGCUGAAGACUUUACCAGACACGCUGAGAGGUGGUGCAUGGCCGUCGCCAGCUCGUGCCGUGAGAUGUCCUGUUAAGUCAGGUAACGAGCGAGACCCCUGCGUCUAGUUGCUACCAUUACUCUCUGGAGCAGUGGAGCGAAUUAGACGGACCGCACACUAGUUAAUGGGGAGGAAGGAAGGGGCCACGGCAGGUCAGUAUGCCCCGAAACCCUAGGGCUACACGCGGGCUGCAAUGGUACCUAUCAUGUGUUCCGAAUCCGAAAGGAGGAGGCAAUCAUCAAACAUAUCUCAGUUAUGACUGAGGUAAACUCGGGGCACGAAUA
rnacentral:rRNA from 1 species